rnacentral:rRNA from 1 species
GUCUUUUUGAAAUAAUUUAAAGUCUAAUCUGCCCACUGAUAUGAAUUAAAGGGCUGCAGUAUAAUGACUGUACAAAGGUAGCAUAAUCAAUAGUUUUUUAAUUGAAAACUUGUAUGAAAGAUUUGAUGAAAUAUAAACUGUCUCUAAUUUAUAGUUUGAAUUUUAUUUUUUAGUAAAAAAGCUAAAAUAAAUUUAAAAGACGAGAAGACCCUAUAGAGUUUUAUAUUUAAUUUUAUUAAAAAAAUUAUAUAAAAAUUAAUAUUUUAAAUAAAAUUAAAUAUUAUAUUGGGGUGAUAGAAAAAUUAAAUUAACUUUUUUUAAAAAUUAAACAUAAAUAAAUGAUUAAAUGAUCCAUAAAUAAUGAUUAUAAGAAAAAAUUACCUUAGGGAUAACAGCGUAAUAUUUUUUUUUAGUUCAAAUAAAAAAAAAAGUUUGCGACCUCGAUGUUGGAUUAAGAUAAAAUUUAAAUGCAAAAGUUUAAAAGUUUUGAUCUGUUCGAUCAUUAAAAUCUUACA